AAUGAACGCUGGCGGCGCGCCUAAUACAUGCAAGUCGAGCGAGAAGACGUAGCAAUACGUUUGUAAAGCGGCGAACGGGUGAGGAAUACAUGGGUAACCUACCCUCGAGUGGGGAAUAACUAGCCGAAGGUUAGCUAAUACCGCGUACGCUCCUUGGACUUCGGUUCAGGGAGGAAGGCGAUACCGUGGGUAUCGCGCUCUUGGUUGGGCUCAUGUCCUAUCAGCUUGUUGGUGAGGUAACGGCUCACCAAGGCUUCGACGGGUAGCUGGUCUGAGAGGACGAUCAGCCACACUGGCACUGCGACACGGGCCAGACUCCUACGGGAGGCAGCAGUAAGGAAUAUUGCGCAAUGGGCGAAAGCCUGACGCAGCGACGCCGCGUGGGGGAGUGAAGGGUCUUC
rnacentral:rRNA from 1 species